AGCAGCCGCGGUAAUUCCAGCUCCAAUAGCGUAUAUUAAAGUUGUUGCAGUUAAAAAGCUCGUAGUUGAAUUUCGGGAUCAAAGAAUCGGUCAUGCCUUGGUAUGUACUGGUUUUAUUGGUUCUCACCUUCUAAAGAACCAUGAUGUCAUUCAUUUGAUGUUAUGGGGAAUUAGGACUGUUACCUUGAAAAAAUUAGAGUGUUUAAAGCAAGCUUACGCUUGAAUACAUUAGCAUGGAAUAAUGAAAUAGGACAUCAGAUUCUAUUUUGUUGGUUUCUAGGAUCGAUGUAAUGAUUAAUAGGGAUAGUUGGGGGCAUUAGUAUUCAAUUGUCAGAGGUGAAAUUCUUGGAUUUAUUGAAGACUAACUACUGCGAAAGCAUUUGCCAAGGAUGUUUUCAUUAAUCAAGAACGAAAGUUAGGGGAUCGAAGACGAUCAGAUACCGUCGUAGUCUUAACCAUAAACUAUGCCGACUAGGGAUCGGAUGAUGUCUAUUUUUUAGUGACUCAUUCGGCACCUUAC
rnacentral:misc_RNA from 1 species